rnacentral:rRNA from 1 species
GACAGAGGGUGCAAACGUUGCUCGGAUUUACUGGGCGUAAAGCGCAUGUAGGCGGAGAGAUGUGUCGGGUGUGAAAUCCCUGGGCUCAACCUAGGAACUGCAUCCGAAACUGUCUUUCUAGAGUAGUGGAGAGGAAAGCGGAAUUCCGGGUGUAGAGGUGAAAUUCGUAGAUAUCCGGAGGAACACCAGUGGCGAAGGCGGCUUUCUGGACACUAACUGACGCUGAGAUGCGAAAGCGUGGGGAGCAAAC